UACGUAGGGUGCAAGCGUUGUCCGGAAUUAUUGGGCGUAAAGAGCUCGUAGGCGGUUUGUCGCGUCUGCUGUGAAAACCCGAGGCUCAACCUCGGGCCUGCAGUGGGUACGGGCAGACUAGAGUGGCGGUAGGGGAGACUGGAAUUCCUGGUGUAGCGGUGAAAUGCGCAGAUAUCAGGAGGGAACACCGGUGGGCGAAGGCGGGUCUCUGGGCCGGUAACUGACGCUGGAGGAGCGAAAGCCGUGGGGAGCGAACAGG
rnacentral:rRNA from 1 species